CCUCCCUUCUAGCCGCUGCGCUGUUGCGUUCUCAGACAACUACGGCUCAGCGAGUGCCCCCCUUAAACGGUGAUAAAAGGAAGGGAGAAAGCGAAUAAGACUAACGACAACGAAGUGAAAGUCCACAGACAUGUCUUCUUAUUUUAAGAAGAAAAUAACAGCAGAAGGAGAUAAAGAGAUGACAGGGGAGCAACAGAGAACGAAGGAGGAGGAGGAGGAGGAGAAAGAGGGGGUGGAUGGAGAUAUAUGCCAGUCAAGACUAGAACGGCCCAAGCAGCCACAACUAAAAAUCUCGAACCUGUCAAGGGGACAGAAGAAGAUGCUUUUCUAAAGACUGGUACAACACAUAUAAAUGGCUUGAACUGAGUCUGGUAACCAGAGAUGGAUCCUAUGGAUCUUUGCUGGGAAGUUAUUUUUGUAAAAGUAAUUAUUUUUGUUUCAGACUAAGUAAAGGUAUAACUGUUUCUUACACAUACAGUAUAACCUUGUAGUCAAAAUAUGACUGUUGUUCCCUGUUUUCCCUGAAAUUGCUGUUACAUGAAAUAUGUGCUUAUUCCUAUAAUAUUUUGUCCUUGCUUUCCAAAAGCUUUCAAAUAUGACUUAGUCAAUUAUACAAUGAGGCUAACGAUGUGCAAGAUAAAUAAAUGAUUUACUUGUGUAUUUAAUAGUUCAUAUGUAAGAAAGGUAAAUCCAUAACCUGUUUGUUAAAUAUUUCAUACGCAAGCACUGUAACAGCAAAAAUGUCUUGGUUACUGUAAGACUUAAGAAAAUUACUUUUUUAUUGGUUCAUGCCACAAUUUGAUGUGUUUUUUUUUGUGACUGUCUGUUUUUGAACUUUAAAUAAAGUACAUUUGUGUGAACAAGUAUUUGAGUCGAUUAUUUUAUGUAUACAGGCAUUUUCAGCUAUUUUCUAAACCUACUUAUUCCUGUUAAGUGUUAGCAAGACGGGGUUGGGUUGUGUACUGUAUAUAGUAUAGUAUGUUUGUAAAGGGUUUUCUAUUGGCCACCCCUCGCUAGCUUUGUGCCCCAUGUUGGCCACCCCGGUAAAAAUAUUCUGGCUACGCCCCUGACACCUUCCACAGGAAACACAUUUUCAC